UUGUAAAAAUAGAACAUGUGCUAAUAUCAGGAAUGAUAAAAGCCAUGUUGAGUGGCCCAGGUCAGUUAGCUGAAAAUAAAACAAAUGAAGUUAAUUUGAGAGCCUGGCCAACAUGGCGAAACCCUGUCUCUACUAAAAAUUAGCUGGGCAUGGUGCACAUGCCUGUAAUCCCAGCUACCUGGGAGGCUGAGGCAUGGUGGGAGAUGAUGUCAACAUUGAAAAGGCCAACAAUUCCCUCAUCAGCAAUGAUCGCAGCUGGAAGAGAAACAAGUUCCGCCUCACCUUUGUGGCCGAAGCUCCAGAACUCACACAAGGUACCUCCCACCACCCUUCCAGGGAGGUAUUCGUGACAAUGGGGGAAAGGCAGGUGAUCUCACCUCCAGAAGGUGCUUAGAGAAGAUGGGCUUCAUUGCUUUGAUCUCCCUUUAGUGCAGUCCUACCAAAAUGAAUACUUUGCUGCUCUCCCACACUCAGUAAAACAAGUGCUGGUAAAUGUUUCCCUCUCUCUCUCUAGUAAUGUACUGUGUUCUUCCAAACCAUCCUCUUCUCAACUUAACUCAACUAUAUUUUCUUUUUGUUCUGCACUACCCACAACCACCCCACCCAUCCCAACCAAUGCCUGCCUCAUCUCCUCUCUUCUGUCUCUCAUUCUACUCCAGAGAGCAGUGGAAGUGUCAGUAGAGGGUGAAUACAAUGCUGCAGAGUGUUUGUUUGUAUUAAUAUUCUGAGACAAGAUCUCAUUAUGUUUCCCAGGCUGGUCUUGAACCCCUGGCCUCAAGUGAUCCUCCCACCUCAGCCUCCUAAGUAGUUGGGAUUAUGGGCGUGAGCCACGUUGCCCCACCU
rnacentral:lncRNA from 10 species